GGCUCUGUGGCGCAAUGGACGGCGCAUUAGACUUCUAGUCAAUCUCUGAAGAAGUGAUUCAAAGGUUGUGGGUUCGAGUCCCACCAGAGUCG
rnacentral:tRNA from 1 species